rnacentral:rRNA from 1 species
UCAGGAUGAACGCUGGCGGCGUGCUUAACACAUGCAAGUCGAACGGAGAUAAGAGAAGCUUGCUUUUCUUAUCUUAGUGGCGGACGGGUGAGUAACGCGUGGGUAACCUACCCUGUACAGGGGGAUAGCAGUUGGAAACGACUGAUAAAACCGCAUAAAACGGCAGUACCGCAUGGUACAACCGUCAAAUAUUCAUAGGUACAGGAUGGGCCCGCGUCUGAUUAGCUAGUUGGUGGGGCAACGGCCUACCAAGGCGACGAUCAGUAGCCGGCCUGAGAGGGUGAACGGCCACAUUGGGACUGAGACACGGCCCAAACUCCUACGGGAGGCAGCAGUGGGGAAUAUUGGACAAUGGGGGAAACCCUGAUCCAGCGAACCGCCGCGUGAGUGAAGAAGUAUUUCGGUAUGUAAAGCUCUAUCAGCAGGGAAGAUGAUGACGGUACCUGACUAAGAAGCACCGGCUAAAUACGUGCCAGCCGCGGC